UACGUAGGGGGCAAGCGUUGUCCGGAAUCAUUGGGCGUAAAGCGCGUGUAGGCGGCCCGGUAAGUCCGCUGUGAAAGUCCAGGGCUCAACCCUGGGAUGCCGGUGGAUACUGCCGGGCUAGAGUCCGGAAGAGGCGAGUGGAACUCCUGGUGUAGCGGUGGAAUGCGCAGAUAUCAGGAAGAACACCAACGGCGAAGGCAGCUCGCUAGGACGGUACUGACGCUGAGACGCGAAAGCGUGGGGAGCGAACAGG
rnacentral:rRNA from 1 species